rnacentral:lncRNA from 1 species
CCGCCUGUGCGCGGCUGCCAGCGGUAGAUCUAGCCUGCGCACGGCCACUGCCGCCACGGCGCUGCCGCCGCGGGGCAUACUGCUCAUGCGCGGCCACUGCCGCUGCGGCGGUUCCUACCCGCGGGUGGCUGCUGCCAGCACGCGGCCGCCGCCUGUGCACGGCCAACUCACGCAUGGCCGCCUCCUGGGCUGUCUGCCUGCGUGCGGCCGACCGUCGCAUGGACGGAUUCUGGCCGU